GGCGGAGUAGAGCAGCCUGGUAGCUCGCAAGGCUCAUAACCUUGAGGUCACGGGUUCA
rnacentral:tRNA from 1 species